rnacentral:lncRNA from 1 species
UUCCAUUUGGGUUUAGACAUGGCUAGUUGAUCCCAAAGAUUAGACAUCAGAGAAUUGAAUUCAGUAAUAGACUAACCUGGAUCUUGUUUCAUCUAAUGAAGAUUCGUGAGAAGUUGGUACUGGUGGGCUACAUCUAUGGAUGAGUAUCUUUGUGCCAAAAAAUUCCAAAGUUUGUUUGCUAUAUCAAACCAUCCGAACAAAACAUUGAUUGAAGUGAUUGAAGUGUUGGUGAUCCAUGUGCUAAUUUUGAAAUUAUUGCUAUCCUAGUCCUCGAGUUGUGUCCGAAAAUCUAUAUCAGAUUUAGUGUCAGCUUUCUUUGGUUUGAAAUUUUCGCCAAUGAUGUAUCACCAGAGUUUGUGGCCUUUCAGAAAAUUCCAUAUGAUUUGAGCCCCA